rnacentral:lncRNA from 1 species
UGACCUGGCAAGAUAUAAAUUCAUUCUGGGCCACUGGCAAGAUUUUGACCAACAUCAAUCACUAAACUGUUCUCUACUCUUCAGUCCCUUGACUCUUUCAAUAUCCUCUCUUAUCAGUGAGCCAAGGUGGUAGAGUUGCAGCAAACAAUACAGUGAAGAGCUCCCUGCCAAAUUUCUCCAAACACAUGCAAAAAAUGCACCAGCCCAAAGCUUGUUGGGACAAUCCAGAAAAAGAUACAGUAAUAUUUGCAUAAGGAUAUGGACUGGACAUGAGAUUUCUCCCAGAUGAAGAAAUCCCUCCAGCAAUGCAGGAUGUGGCGUCUCUGCUAAUGGACUGAUUCAUUGCUGGCUGAGUCAACCAAAUCACUCAUCACCUAACUUGGUACUGCUGUUACCAGCUUUCAGUGCUGAAGAGAGAGAGCUUCCAUGGCUCUUCCAAGCCUCUUUUGAGAGCUCACAAGAUUGUCAUCUAGUCUGUUCCAUCUCAGGGAUUUAAGCAUGUUCAUGCUUAAAGCCUUAAACCAAAGGUUAAAGGUGGAAAGGAAGAACAAGAUAGAAAAACUGUCGUGCCAAAGGGAUCAACAAUUAGUGGACUAGGUUGCUCAUAUUGGUGAUCAAUUAAGAUGUGGGGUAGGCCAAGAAUACAAGGAAAUCAGGAAAUCAGAAACUCAUUAGAAGCAGAAAACUGGAACAAAGUGUCUGACUGAUUGUGUGUAUUUGUGUGUAUUUAUGGAAGACCUCAGAAUAUUAGACCAAAUGUUAUAAAAUUAAGGGAAUUAAAUAUCACUCUUCCUCACAGGAAGCCUCCCUAGUCUUAGAGCUGCAG